rnacentral:rRNA from 1 species
GACGAACGCUGGCGGCGUGCUUAACACAUGCAAGUCGAACGAUGACGACCGAGCUUGCUCGGUCUGAUUAGUGGCGAACGGGUGAGUAACACGUGAGCAACCUGCCCUUCACUCUGGGAUAACCUCGGGAAAUCGGGGCUAAUACCGGAUAUGAGCUCCUGUCGCAUGGCGGGUGUUGGAAAGUUUUUCGGUGAAGGAUGGGCUCGCGGCCUAUCAGUUUGUUGGUGAGGUAGUGGCUCACCAAGGCGAUGUCGGGUAGCCGGCCUGAGAGGGCGACCGGCCACACUGGGACUGAGACACGGCCCAGACUCCUACGGGAGGCAGCAGGGGGGAAUAUUGCACAAUGGGCGAAAGCCUGAUGCAGCGACGCCGCGUGAGGGAUGACGGCCUUCGGGUUGUAAACCUCUUUCAGCAGGGAAGAAGCGAAAGUGACGGUACCUGCAGAAGAAGCGCCGGCUAACUACGUG